GGACCAGCCUCUGGAGAGACCUAUUAAAUUAGGCGCCGAAGGAGCAAAUCUAUUUUGUAAACCUUUUAUUUUCUUAGUUGAGUAAAGAUAAUCAAUAAGAGAAGAAAAAUGGUUAUAAUUAGAUAAACUCUCAGGCAAAAGGACAGGGGAUGUGAG
rnacentral:ncRNA from 2 species